UACGUAGGGUGCGAGCGUUACUCGGAAUUACUGGGCGUAAAGCGUGCGCAGGCGGUUUUGCAAGCCGGAUGUGAAAUCCCCGGGCUUAACCUGGGAAUGGCAUUUGGGACUGCAAGGCUGGAGUGCGGCAGAGGAGACUGGAAUUCCGCGUGUAGCAGUGAAAUGCGUAGAUAUGCGGAGGAACACCGAUGGCGAAGGCAAUCCCCUGGGCCUGCACUGACGCUCAUGCACGAAAGCGUGGGGAGCAAACAGG
rnacentral:rRNA from 1 species